rnacentral:SRP_RNA from 1 species
GCCAGGCGUGGUGGUGCGCACCUGUAGUCCCAGCUACUUGGGAGGCUGAGGCAGGAGAAUCACUUGAGCCCAGGAAGCGGAAGUUGCAGUGAGCCAAGAUCAUGUGACUGUAUUCCAGCCUGGGCAAUACAGUGAGAUUCUGUCUCAA